rnacentral:lncRNA from 1 species
CUACUCUAAAAUAAUUGCAUAACGAUGGUUGUUCGUUUGUUAUUAUUCCAUAAUAUACAGGCCAAAUCAUGGCUGACACCGACAGCAAGAAGAUCGAUCUACCAGACGGGCUAUGCGUUGAAAUAUCUCCUGACGGUUGUACAUACCACGAUGGUCUUUGCUUCCAUUGUUUGGUAACUGACGUCUACUACCCCACUAUGGAUGACUGCAAGAGCAAUUGCAACAAAUCCUCGUCUUUACAAGACGUGCUAGUUGCCAUGACAACCUCCCCUCCUCCUCCUUUAUCUGCUCCUUAAUUUUCCGGCCUAGACAAUGGUUAUAUGUACAAGAUUGUCCCCUGAAAAUAAUGCCUAUGUGCGGAAACCAGUUAUGCAAUGCGAGUAAUAUACUGCAGCAGUUGUUGCUGAGUAUUUUGGUUUGGCAAAUCACAUUUGAACCUUUACUAGGAAUUGUUGGGAGAGCGAUGAAAUGACUCGCAAGCGCAGAUGCUCCGGAAAUCCGAGUGGUACAGCUUAGCUUGGGAUCUGUGUCGGUUAAAUCUGUGUCACAUAUACGUUUUAGAAUACAGAGGUGAAUACAUCUGCAGAUGGGCUAUACUGGACCAUAGUACUAACUCCUCGCAAAGUCGCAAGUCUCCUCUCUUCAAGUCCAUCGAUGUCCCAUGCAAAAUAAAAUGAAAUAAGUCCAUCGAUCUCUCACUUAAAAAGAGUCCUAUGGCUGUGGAUGACCAGGGAGGCCGCCCUUGGCCAAUAUCCGGCACCGGUGAGUUCGUAUACCCUGUCAUGGUGGGUUUCUCAUCUAUCCUACCUCUCAUGAGGCGUCCGGUUCUUGUCUUUCCCAAGCUCACAUUAAUAUUCCCAAAUCAGCCAUCGGCCGGCCUUGGCGACAUCAUCUUCAUCCACUCCCGUGCUGCACACACCCAUUUCUCUGAUCUCUUAAAGCAACUCUAGCCGAGCCCAUAAAAGAUACAGGAGUAUUUGGCCGGGUAAACCUUAAUGGAGUAAAUUUAGUCCACUAAGUUUUGGUCGGUUCUAGCUGAUCCCCUAAAUUUAGCGGAGUAAAAUAAAAUUUGGUUAAGAUGAACAUAGAUUCGAUCUAAACAAACUUCUAAACUGAAAUUCGACACGUAAUUUACAUUAUCAUCCGUCGAAACAUAGUUCAAAGCGAUACUAAAACUUGAACUCAAACAUAAGCUAAAAUCUAAAUCUAACCAAAAAAAUUAGUCGCUAUUCGACUUUGCGAGGGAGAGCAAGUCCUCCCUAGAGAUUCCACCGCCCAUGGGGUCAGUCCCUAGGUCGUCUUUGUUGUAUCCAGGAAGGUCCUUCACCACUUAUCGAUGUUGAAGCUGUCAUCGUUGCCGCCUCCACUGCCACCAUUGUUGCCGCCUCCACCGAGCCAGCUCGUCAUCGACCAGCGCCCACGUGCAUCUAGGGAUCAUACAUUCAACAGGGGGUGACUCCAUGAGUCAGGUGAUCCACAAAAACCGCAUGAGCUAGAGUCCACCAUAUGGCUGUGUGCCCAAUAUCAUUUGUUGCUAAAGAAUGUAUGGAUAGAUGCCAAAGGAACAGCCUCACGUUUCCCGGCACUAGAACUUUCCAUAAACUUUUCCAUGAGCCCUCUUCAGCAGCCGAGGUGGAGGAACCAUCCCUUUGAUCUAAGCAUGACUAUUGGAGAAUUAAUUACAAUUAUGAAAUAUACAAAUAUAGACAUAGGAGAUAAGUCCAACCAAAUUUGGGAACUUGUCUAAAAAGGGAGAAAAUUAGUCUGACUUGAUUUGUGCUUUUAAUGAGGGUUCAUAUUAUAGGAUGAUAUUAAAUAAAUCCAAUUUUAUUGCUUGAUGGUUUACACGGGAUAAGGAUGACCAGUUCUCUCUUCUCUCAAUAUAUACGAUCGAUUCAUGUGCUCAUUGGUAACCAAACAUUUCUCAUCGACAACCAAAGUGACCUGAGAGCUUGCGUAGCUAGUGUUGUAUCUGGUUGGCCAUGGACAAGUACACGAUUCGCAUCCUUGCACUAGGAGCCCUAGUGUGUCUACAUCUCGUAUGCUCUGCUACUGUUGCUCAAUGUAAGGCAGCUAGCACACCGAUAUUUAUGUAUCUUCACAAUGCUUAAUUUUUCUUCACUUGUCCUGGCUGGAAGUAUGUACCUAGUAUAGCUAUCAAAGGCCUUUCUAUUUUGCUUUGUAACUGGUUCCAUCGUUUAUAUGCAUAUAUAUACAUACACACUACUCUAAAAUAAUUGCAUAACGAUGGUUGUUCGUUUGUUAUUAUUCCAUAAUAUAUAGGCCAAAUCAUGGCUGACACCGAUAGCAAGAAGAUCGAUCUACCAGACGGGCUAUGCGUUAAAAUAUCUCCUGAUGGUUGUACAUACCACGAUGGUCUUUGCUUCCAUUGUUUGGUAACUGACGUCUACUACCACACUAUGGAUGACUGCAAGAGCAAUUGUAACAAAUCCUCGUCUUUACAAGACGUGCUAGUUGCCAUGACAACCUCCCCUCCUCCUCCUUUAUCUGCUCCUUAAUUUUCCGGCCUAGACAAUGGUUAUAUGUACAAGAUUGUCCCCUGAAAAUAAUGCGUAUGUGCGGAAACCAGUUAUGCAAUGCGAGUAAUAUACUGCAGCAGUUGUUGCUGAGUAUUUUGGUUUGGCAGAUCACAUUUGAACCUUUACUAGCAAUUGUUGGGAGAGCGAUGAAAUGACUCGCAAGCGCAGAUGCUCCGGAAAUCUGAGUGGUACAACUUAGCUUGGGAUCUGUGUCAGUUAACUCUUUGUCACAUAUACGUUUUAGAAUACAGAGGUGAAUACAUUUGCAGAUGGGCCAUACUGGACCAUAGUACUCAGUACUCGCAAAGUCACAAGUCUCCUCUCUUCAAGUCCAUCGAUGUCCCAUGCAAAAUAAAAUGAAAUAAGUUCAUCGAUCUCUCGCUUAAAAAGAGUCCUAUGGCUGUGGAUGACCAAGGAGGCCGCCCUUGGCCAAUAUCCGGCACCAGUGAGUUCUUCUACCCUGUCAUGGUGGGUUUCGCAU